GAUGAACGCUGACAGAAUGCUUAACACCUCAGCAAUUGAUUGGUGGCGGACGGGUGAGUAACGCGCAAAGAACUUGCCUCACAGGUAGGGACAACAUUCGGCAACGAAUGCUAAUACCUACUACUGUGAGAGAGUUUUGCGUCCCGUUAGCUAGUUGGAGAGGUAACGGCUCACCAAGGCGAUGAUGGGUAGCCGGCCUGAGAGGGUGAUCGGCCACAGGGGGACUGAGACACGGCCCUUACGCCUACGGGAGGCAGCAGUGGGGGAUAUUGGACGAAGGACCAAAGUCUGAUCAAGGAAUUCGGUGUGUACGAUGAAGUUUUCGGAAUGUAAAGUGCUGUCAGUUGAGAAGCGGUACCAACAGAAGAAGUGACGGCUAAAUACGUGCCAGCAGCCGCGGUAAUUC
rnacentral:rRNA from 1 species